GGAAGGGUUUAUAACUUCAGGUGGAUGCUGAACAGAUAAUUCUGCAGAGCAAGCUUUAUAAAAAGCCAAAGUAGAUGAUGUGGGGUAGAGGGUGAAAGGGGAUGAGUGAAGGCUCCUAGAAUGAAGCUCCAACUUUCCAACUUGAGAGUUCAGUGAUCAGAGGCAUAUUUCAAUGUCUUUUUAGGUGAGAUAUAUAACAUACCUUUCCUAACCCAUGAUAUUUUUAAGAUUAAAAACUGAAGGUGAGUAAAUCUUGAAACUGAAACACGAUGCAAAUCUUGAAGCAUGAAGCAAAUAUUAAUAAUUAUUCUCACUGGUCUUCAUGCUAGUAAUGAUGAUGCCAUUGAAUCUUGAAGGUCCUUAGUAUUGAAGAAUCUGCUAUCAACAAGUAUACAAGCAUAGAAGGGCACAGACGUUAAAUGUUCUUGGACAAGUAUUACUGAUGUUACCUGGAAGUGGUAGAAAUGAGACCCAGGGAGAAUGUUCCAUUUGAGGAAGAGGGGAUACUGAUGCCAUAUGGCUGUGAUCAUCUUCCUAUAUCUCAAAGACUUUGCCCUAAACAUUGUUGCAUUUCCUUAAAGAAAAGAUCAAGAGUUGAGAUUAAACUUGACUUAAAACGCCAGAUAUUUGCCAGAACCUCUAGGAAAUUGAUGAAAUAUUCCUGUCUGAAGGCUGCAACCAAACAUGAUCUCAUCCAUAUCAGCAGCAUUACUAAUAAAACACCAAGGUGCUUCCUGACCUCCAGGAGAGAUGUGUUAAAUUGGAUGGCAGAAAUAAGUCACUGGAACAAAAUGCUUGAGAAAGAACCUGCUCUGCUCCCUACUUUCUUAAAAAUACACUCACAUGUUCUCCCAUAUACCAAAACAAUUAUUCUAGAUUGGAGAUAUUUAAGGAUUCACACUUACGUAAAGGAGCCCAUUUUAUCUUUCUAAAAUGAAGUCUCUUCACUAGAAAUGAAAUGGGAGAAUAGAUAAGAUAAGUAAAUAAAAUCUGAACAGAUGACCCUUCUGAUCCUGUGAUUUUUACUACCUCUCUCCUCAGCUUUCAGUUUUCCAAGUAAAAUCACAUAUUUUAUUGUUUUCCCCAAAGUACUUAUUUUAUAUCCUGAAAAUCUUCUUGAUUCUUAUGAUUUCUCCAACCCACUGUAUCCUCAGAAUAAAGAACUGAACCUAAUAUCCAUCCAAGUAUAUAACUGGCUAAAGCAUAGUCUGAUUGGAAGUAGAGUCUGUAUUCCUAUCAGUAAACUCAAGAACAUGGUGAGAUGUGUAACACACACCCAAACUGAAAUGAGCCUUGUUUUUAGACCCAAGGUCUAUAAGAUCUGAUAUUAAUCUAGUCUCUUCUAAGUAUCCAAACCUUGGCUCUGAUUUUUAAGUGCAGUUUUAGAAGAAAAUGGAGACUUAUAAUAAAAGGAUUUAUGAAAAGAUGAUUGAGUUCAUUCUCCAGUGAUGAAAAUUGUAUUCACUUUACUACUCACAUUCAAUUCAACUCUCUCUGCCAUAAUAAAUUGAAAAAUUCCAGAUGGAGACUGCUCUGUCAGCCUAGAUCCUAGUGUGAAAAUAAAUCUGAGCAGAUGUUUUGCCAUCCUAAAAUGGACAAGUAGUUUGAAUGUUGUUUAAAGCUAGUGAUACUGCGGAGUUAUUUGUUAUCACAGCAAAAUAGAGCCCUACGUACUAGUACAGAUAUGAAUUGCUUUUGAUACAAAUAGGAAUAACAUAAGCUUAAAUGUGUUUGUUAAUAAUUUACACUUAUUUCCAUUCUUACUAAGGCUGUAGAAAGCUACAGAAAAAUAAUAAUAAGAGAAAGCUGUCUAAUUUUUAAAGUUCAUAUUCUUUAGCCCAUCACAAAGCUCACAUCAGAAGGCGAUCUAAUGAACUGAAUCCCAAAAGUAAUAAGACCCUGUAAGGAGAAGUAGG
ensembl:lncRNA